AUAGCGUAUAUUAAAGUUGUUGCAGUUAAAAAGCUCGUAGUUGAACUUCAGACCUGGUCGGGCGGUCCGCUUAACGGCGUGUACUGUCUGACUGGGCCUUACCUCUUGGUGAGCCGGCGUGCCCUUUAUUGGUGUGCGUCGGGGAACCAGGACUUUUACCUUGAGAAAAUUAGAGUGUUCAAAGCAGGCUUAUGCUCGAAUACAUUAGCAUGGAAUAAUAAAAUAGGACGUGCGGUUCUAUUUUGUUGGUUUCUAGAAUCGCCGUAAUGAUUAAUAGGGAUAGUUGGGGGCAUUGGUAUUGAGUCGCUAGAGGUGAAAUUCUUGGAUUGACUCAAGACCAACUACUG
rnacentral:rRNA from 1 species